GGCCAGGUAGCUCAGUCGGUAGAGCAGUGGACUGAAAAUCCACGUGUCGGUGGUUCGAUUCCGCCCCUGGCCACCA
rnacentral:tRNA from 4 species